GCCAGGUGUGGUGGCGCGUGCCUGUAGUGCCAGCUACUCGGGAGGCUGAGGUGGGAGGAUCGCUUGAGCCCAGGAGUUCUGGGCUGUAGUGCGCUAUGCCGAUCGGGUGUCCACACUAAGUUCGGCAUCAAUAUGGUGACCUCCCGGGAACGGGGAACCACCAGGUUGCCUAAGGAGGGGUGAACCGGCCCAGGUCAGAAACAGAGCAGAUCAAAACUCCCGUGCUGAUCAGUAGUGGGAUCGCGCCUGUGAACAGCCACUGCACUCCAGCCUGGGCAACACAGCGAGACCCCCUCUCU
rnacentral:SRP_RNA from 1 species